AAGCAGGGGCGGGCCCUGCGGCCCGCGCCCCGCCCUUCGCCCUGCCCGCCCGGCCCUCGCUCCCGGCGGCGCGGGGCGGCGAGGCGAGGGGGGCCUUCUCCCUUCGCCGCCUUUGGGCGCCUCCCCCGGACCGCGCUCGGCUUCACCGCCCCCGGCCCCCGCCUUCCCUUCCGGCGCCCGGCAGCCGCCGCUCCUUCCGGGCCGGCGGGGACCCCGCUCGGCCGCCUCCGCCUUGGCUUCUCUCCGGGGCCGAGCGCGCCCCCGAGGCCGGCUGGCUCGCUCGGGCGGCGGCGCGCUCCCUGCCCGGCGCCCGCAGCGGCCGUGGCGCCGCGGCCGAGCGCGCCCCUGCGCUGGGAGGCGGCGGGGUCGCGGGGCUCGCCUCGGCACAGGGCGGGCGCGGCGCAGACGGGGCUUCGGAACCGCUUGCCUCUGUCUGCCUUCGCCUUUUUUAUCCUCAUUUCAAACACCUUUUCCCACAAUCCUUUAUUCAUUCUUUUCAUCAGAAUUACUCCUAUGAUUUUGAAAAUACACAAAAUCUUCGUCUUCAUUUGGCAUAGCAUCCAUCCUUGGUGCCUGGAGGUAGCAAACACUGAUUUACAAGCCACAGAGCUUCUUGUCUUUUUUCCUGUUUUCUUUGCAGAACAGCACAAAACAGAGAAGUCUGGGCUUGUGCUCAAGAAUAUCAGGUCUGAUGCUGUAGCCGAAACUGCUCUUGCUGCUCACAGGAGAAAAAGAAAAAUGAAAAGUUCCAGUCCUUUGGAGGAGCAUACAGGUUCCCGAAUAACAGUGUUUUAAUCCUCAGAGUGCUGGAGAAACAAGGCCGAGGGACAGAGAAGUUGUUUUCAUCAGUAUUUAGAUGGUCUUUCUGUAAUUUAAUUUUUUUUGUUUGUUUGUUUCCUGAUAAAGAGGUAUUUUUAGUUACAAGAAAGGGAAGGAAGGGAAACCUCUUCUGAUCAUUUUGUAGUGUAUAUCCCACCAUGAACUACGGCCAAUACCCAGCAGUGUGUCAGGAGAAUGAAGUAAGACUGCCCUACAAUCCUGAAUAUAUCAAUCACCAUUGUGGAAGCCACAAUUCAUGGUGAGGAAAAGAGUUUCCUCUCACUUGUAUACAGUGACACUGAAAGUAUUUCAUCAACAUUUAUUACAGGGCAUUUUUCAUGCCCUAGUAAAUCAGUGUGAGAAAGAAAGCUUUGAGAAUCCCUUUCAGUAAGCACAAAGGGAAACAAUGGAAGCCUAUGAUUGUUGAAAGGAAAAGGUGGCAAUUAUUCUAAGUUUACUGAACAUUAGGACCACUAUGCUCAACAUCGGCUUUAAAAGAAGGCAUUAAAACACAGGACGACAAUCAUUUAUUACUGUCUACGGUGUUCUUUUCUGGACUAGGAGCUAGGCUUGAUGUUCAUUUUGGGUAAGCAAUCUGGAUAAAGUUGAACUGGUCUGAAGUUAAAGUGGGGUUUUGAUGCAGAACCUGAACUUACCUUAGUCUCACAUCAUUUGAGAUAACUCUAGCUCUGGAUAGCAUAUGUAUUGAAGUACCCACAGUGUGGAAGGCAGUCGGUUUUAUUCUCUUCUUUUAAUUUCGUUUUUAUUAAGUACCAUAGUUCUGUGAACUUUUGUCCAAUUGACAUAAGACUCCUGUCGAUGGGCUCAUUUUUCCCAGUUAUUUUUUUAAUGAAAUGACAGUUAGAAUCUCUCUGUAUUCCUGUGCUAAUAAAGUGAUGAUCUUAAUUUCCA
ensembl:lncRNA